rnacentral:rRNA from 1 species
UGAGAGGAGCUGCUCCUAGUACGAGAGGACCGGAGUGGACGUACCGCUGGUGUUCCGGUUGUGAUGCCAAUUGCAUUGCCGGGUAGCUAUGUACGGAACUGAUAACCGCUGAAAGCAUCUAAGCGGGAAGCAGACCUCAAGAUUAGAUCUCCCUUGGACUUUAAGUCCUCUAAAGGUCCGUCGAAGACUACGACGUUGAUAGGCUGGGUGUGGAAGUGCAGCAAUGCAUGGAGCUAACCAGUACUAAUUGACCGUGCGGCUUAACCAUAUAUUACCCAAAUAUUUGGG